rnacentral:sRNA from 1 species
CUGGAUGUGAUGAAGGAGUUGAUAACUCUGGCAAAACGCCAUGAGUUCUUGAUAUUUGAAGACCGGAAGUUUGCAGAUAUAGGAAACACAGUGAAAAAGCAGUAUGAAGGAGGUGUCUUUAAAAUAGCUUCCUGGGCAGAUCUAGUAAAUGCUCACGUGGUGCCAGGCUCAGGAGUUGUGAAAGGCCUGCAAGAAGUGGGCCUGCCUUUGCAUCGGGGGUGCCUCCUUAUUGCGGAAAUGAGCUCCACCGGUUCCCUGGCCACUGGGGACUACACUAGAGCAGCGGUUAGAAUGGCUGAGGAGCACUCUGAAUUUGUUGUUGGUUUUAUUUCUGGCUCCCGAGUAAGCAUGAAACCAGAAUUUCUUCACUUGACUCCAGGAGUUCAGUUGGAAGCAGGAGGUAAAUCUGGUUACUGGUCGUGGCUCUUCCAAAAAUGCUUCUUUACCCACGGCAGGCAAAAUAAAACUUUGCAUGUUAUUAUACACUUGCUUAAGAAAAGCCUUCUUAGUCUAGAACAAUAAUGAAUGAGCCCUUUGGUAACUACGUAUCUUUGGACAAGUCAGUUUACUUCUUUUAGUCUCAUUGUCUGUAAAAUGGGGAUGAUAACAGUAUUGACCUCAUAAGGUAAUCAGGAGGCUUUAAUGAGAUAACAUGUAGAAUAUUUAACACAAUGUCUUGGCACAGAGUAAACACUCUGUACUUAUAAGCCCUUAUUCAUGAGCCCUAAUAAUUGUUUGACUAGAUACUAUAGUUAGGGUCUAGGCUUUUAAGAAUACUUAAAGUAUCUUGGAUUUGGAA